GGGUAUAGCUCAGUGGUAGAGCCUGUGUUUAGUUAGCAUGCAUGAGGCCCUGGGUUCAAUCCCCAGUACCUCCA
rnacentral:tRNA from 1 species